UAGGGAAUCUUCCACAAUGGGCGCAAGCCUGAUGGAGCAACACCGCGUGAGUGAAGAAGGGUUUCGGCUCGUAAAGCUCUGUUGUUAAAGAAGAACACGUAUGAGAGUAACUGUUCAUACGUUGACGGUAUUUAACCAGAAAGUCACGGCUAACUACGUGACAG
rnacentral:rRNA from 1 species